rnacentral:tRNA from 1 species
GCCCCUAUAGCUCAACUGAAUAGAGCGUUGGCCUCCGAAGCCAAAGGUUGCAGGUUUGAAUCCUGCUAGGGGCGCCA